rnacentral:lncRNA from 1 species
UAUUUACUCUAUAUUUAAUAUUCUAUAUACUAAAAAUAAACAAAGAUUCUAUUAAAAGCAAUCGUAUCUGUUACCACUCAUUUACUUGCAAUCAUUAUUAAAAAGAAGACUUAAUCGGAUACAAAAGGAAGCAAUCGAACUCUACAUCUGUAGGAAAACAAGACAAGUUAAUAGACCACCAGACCAAAGAAAAAUUUAGACAUGUGGUGCCUCCAAAAUGUAAAUAAUAUUUGGCGCCUAAAAGGCUAAAACCCAAGCUUUAUGAGCUUUACCCCACGGCCAGGCCUGUGUAUACCUAGUCA